rnacentral:misc_RNA from 1 species
UUUCCGUAGGUGAACCUGCGGAAGGAUCACUGUCACCUUGAUCCCAUACCCACCCGCGUGCACUCGUUAACAACGUUCUUUUUUAUCUCAAUAAACACGCUUUCUAACCUGGACUACGUGCUGAUACCGAGAUGUCGGCGCGCCUUGCAUGUGGCGCCCUAAACCAAAUGACAUGACGUGAAACACAACUCUCAGCAACGGAUAUCUCGGCUCUC